UUGUAUGUUCUGAAGAGACUGCUUCACAAAUACCUUGUAGUGAUUUUUCUUUAUGCAAUUUUCAUUGUAGCGGAAGCUUAGAAGAAAAGUUAAGGUGCCAGUGUCCUUGUCUGCUGAGGAGUUCAACGCUGUCCUCAGAAAUGCGUUUCCAAGAGUGGGCGACACUGAUUUUGAGUUGGCAAGAGUAGAUUGUCAUAAAGAAACCACAAGACUUCAAGUUUGUCCACUAUCACCAUCUGUGCUGAAAGCCAGCAGAGAGCUGAAUCGAUCAGCUUUAUAUAUAUACUCCCAAAGGAUGCAGAAGAGGUCUCGAACUCUGGCCAAAACCUGGACCAAGAUGAUAUGGGGCACCCAUUUUAAGCUCUUUCUAGGCUUGUUGUAUAUUUCAUAAUGGCAUAUUGCAUCUUUGGCCAACAAAUGGGGUGUUCUGGUAUUUUGAAGGAUGAACAGGAGGUCCAUACUUCACAAAACUGCCUGGAGAGACCUAAUGCAAUGGCGAGGGAUGAUUUACAUGAGUGGCGUGCACUUCACAAGACAAGAUGAGGAAUACAUACAAAGUCUGCAAACUGAGCAGGAAAGGGUAAGCACACAGCAGUGUUUUAUAAA